ensembl:lncRNA
GUGGGAGAGAUGAAGAGAGUGGGAGAGAUGAAGAGAGAGGGAGAGAGAAAAAGAGAGAGCGCUGUGUUCGGUGCACUUCUGUGCCAGUCCAUUUGGAGGAGACCAUCACCUCUACCGCCCUCCUCCAGCUCCCUGAUUGAGAGAAUGGACUGCGACAACACGGUGAUCAGCUGAAUAUCAAUCGAUGAUCUAUAGACGACACAGGAGCAGCACAGCCAGACUGCUCUCUCACUAACACCACUGCUCCAUGGCCCCAGAGGAGCACACUGCUUUCUACCACCACAUCUUCCAUCCCUCCAGAGGACCAGGCCCUAAUGAAACAUUCUACUGUAACAAGCUCAUUAGAACAUCUCUGGGUUGGCAGAACUGCAGUUUCAUCUGAGAAUGACGAAAUGGAAUUUCUCCGGCGGCGCGGGACGACCUGGUGGAUCCAUAGGGGGUUCUCCUGGAGAUGCCUUAUCAGCCAUCAGCCAGGGACUUUAUUCAUUUCUAACGGUGUUCACCCAUGUUACGAUUUAUAGAUGGUUGUCCUUGUACAAAGCCUGGUGUGUAACCUCUGAGCUGCGUGUUGAAGCAGCGUGUUUGAUUCGUCUCAUUCAGUCGUUGACCCUGUCUUUUGCUAUCUGUUGUCCCCAGUGCAUUAGGGUAUUAACAAUACGAGGGGUCGCUCUAAGCCUAAGGAGUAGAGAUCAACAUCUAUAUUCAAGGUUAUCAUUAGGCAUACAGAGAUUGAAUUAGUUUAGAACAACCGAACAUCGCUUUAAUUGCGUGAAGAUAAUUUGUGAUUAGGCGUGAGAAAAAAAUGCCCUCCAGCCUCGGAUGUGUUAUAGACCUGGAAGGACAUCAUUUAUUGCUUUCAUACACAUGUUCCAGCCAUCAGAUGGAUGCCCAGACAUUCUUAGCUGGUUCUCAUGUAGCCCAUCUGUCCACUCCCUGGAGUCAGGCAACACAGGAGCCCCGGCGACAUUUGGAGUGAAAUGAGAGUAGGCCUUAAAUGUCAAGUAAAAAAGGCUUGAGAUAGCUUUGACACUAAACGUGUCAAACAGACCCACAGUGUGUGUGUGUGUGUGUGUGUGUGUGUGUGUGUGUGCGUGUGUGUCUGCUGAGACAUGAAGGGAGAGGGAAGACAUGCGGAGUACAGAGUAAAUGUAAUAUGGGAAGAAUAUAAGGAUUAUGUGGAAAGUGUGGAUUUAAGUCAACAUAUAGUAGGAAGGAAAAUGUUAUCAUUAUGGGAAGGGAUUAGGAUGCAUCACAGGAAGUUGGUGGCACCUUAAUUGGGGAGGACAGGCUCGUGGUAAUGGCUGGAGUGGACUAGGUGGAAAGGUAUCAAAUACAUCAAAUAUGGUUUCCAUAUGUUUGAUGCCAUUCCAUUUACUCCAUUCCAGCCAUUAUUAUAAGCCGUCCUCCCCUCAGCAGCCUCCACUGGGGUGCAUGUAGAGCAUAGGACCUACAUUCGGUAAAUGGAGAAGAUAUUGCGUGGACAAAACAGGUGGAAAUAACAUGGAGUGAAUACAGACCCUUGAAUUGUACAAGAACUUAAUGAACACAGAUUAACUACAAUAAACCGAAAGGUGCACUACUUGUAGAAAUGGUGCUAGAUAGCACCAAAAAGGGUUCAAUGGCCCGCUUCAGAUGGCACUCGCAUCAAAUGUCAAGGCACCUUUAUUUUUAGCAAUAAGGACAACUACAGAGUGGUGGUGUGUUCCCCUCGGAUGAAUCUCUAGCCUGUAGGUUACCAACCACAUAUUAAACAGAGGAUAAACCCCAACAACCUCAGUCAUUUUUUUGUUUUAUUUUUAAGAAGAAGGGGAAUCUUUAUCAGUGUUUUCCAUAGAGAGAAAUUGUUUCUGAAAGGCGGUGCCGUGCGGUAGAUAAGGAGUUUAAAGAUGAUGAAUACAAGAAUGAUGCUCAAUUUCAUGCUAAAGUGGGGACACAAAGCCCGACUACUAAUUUAGCCCUGCUGAUAGCAAGCGCUCUGCCGCACCGGACAAAAACCAUCCCAAGAUUAAUAGCCUGUCAGUGCAAGUGGAAGCCAAUAACAUGGAUCACUAAAAUCAAAAGAUACUGGUUUGUGUUGCAGUUGCAGUUGGACAAUAAAUAUGUUUGAGGAGACUAAAUGUUUGGACCAAUUCAUGAAAAUGCACUUUAUGGACAAAAUGCUAUUGCC